CGCUGAGUCACGGCCGUGCAGGUGCCGCCGUUCCCUGGGCGGGUCGGGCGUCGGGGAGCGGUGCCGGGCGGGUGUCCCUGUGCCCCCCCGGAUCCGUGAGGAAUGGCCGUGCCACUCCAGCUGCCCCGUGCCCACCUUUGCGGCAGCCUUAGCGGGCUCUUCCCCCUCUGGCUUGCCCCAAGAGGGGCAAAACCCCGACCAAUCCAUCCCCUCACCCUCGUGCUCUGCUCCAGACCUUACUGGCAGCCACGGACGCCCCUUUCUUCUGCCUCCACACCAAGUCGUGUCCCACCCCGCUCCCUCUCUUAACCCUUCAUCUAUCCUUUCCUUCUCGGACCUCCCUCUCCCUCCCCAAAUCCCUCCCUUCCCCACACUUACCCUGGGUCAUCCUCCUUCAUUCCCACGGCCCCCGCAGCCUCUCCCCUCCCGGCACCCCCUUGCCGUGAGCCACCAGCCCACCUCGGGUUCACGUCCCCUUUAAGCCUCCCCAGGCUGGAAUGCGAGAGGAGCAUUUCAGCGCCCUGUGAGGUCAGAUAAAGACACUAUAUUUAUCUGGCCGGUAACCUGAGCCCUGAAUUUCUGCGGUGGCAUUUUUUUUACGUGUGGCCCCACAGCCCUCGGGCUCGGCCCCCUCCAGCCACCGCACUCGCUCCCAGGGUAGAGGGGCUGAGCUGGGGGUGCCCUGUCCCCUCCAAAGGGCUCUGCUGCUGCCCAUCUCCACAUCUCCCCUCUCUGGGACCAGGGGAAGAUCCCAAAGGAGGCAGGAUCAGCCCCGUGGGCAUCACCUCAUGCCUGGAUGUUCGUCCUCCUGACCAGCCCUCGGCCGCCCACCCCACACGCAGUCAGCUCCUGCGGCUCCUGGCACACUCCGCUCUCCCUCUGCCCUGGGAUACACUUGGAUGUGACGUGGGGACUCGGCAGCACAGGCAGUCCUAGCAGAUGUGAUGUUCCUCCAUGGGAAGGGACACCAGGUACAGGGGAUCUGAGCGCCAGCACCGCCAGGACAGAGGAGCUCGGCUGGGGUCCUGCCUGCCCGGUGCCACCCACAGCCCCAGGACAGUCGAUGCCUCCAGGAGAGCCCUCUGAGCCCCAGCCUGCAGCAUGUCCCAACUCUCCUCCACCCUGAAGCGCUACGUGGACUCCUCCCGCUACACCGAGACCACCUACAGCAAAGUGCCCGGCGGGUACAGCUCCUACAGCUCCUAUGGAUCCACCCUGUCCUA
rnacentral:lncRNA from 1 species